rnacentral:rRNA from 1 species
AUUGAACGCUGGCGGCAGGCCUAACACAUGCAAGUCGAACGAGUGGCGGACGGGUGAGUAAUGUCUGGGGAACUGCCUGAUGGAGGGGGAUAACUACUGGAAACGGUAGCUAAUACCGCAUACCAUCAGAUGUGCCCAGAUGGGAUUAGCUAGUUGGUGGGGUAACGGAACACCAAGGCGACGAUCCCUAGCUGGUAUGAGAGGAUGACCAGCCACACUGGAACUGAGACACGGUCCAGACUCCGACGGGAGGCAGCAGUGGGGAAUAUUGGACAAUGGGCGAAAGCCUGAUGCAGCCAUGCCGCGUGUAUGAAGAAGGUCGUCGGAUUGUAAAGUACUUUAAGGUGGGAGGCGUUACCAACAGAAUAAGCACCGGCUAACUCCGUGCCAGCAGCCGCGGUAAUAC